rnacentral:lncRNA from 1 species
UGGUGUAACCAGGGCUUAGUACAUCUUUGGCCAUGGAAGCUUAUAAUAAGAAUGUAGAUUGGAAGGAGGUUAAGUGGAUUGAACCCGUACGGAACUGCAUGCAACAGGUUGUAACUGAGUCUGUAAAAAUAUUGAAGAGGUCAAGAGAGGAAAAACUGGUAAAUGAUGGGUUGGCCUGGGAAUCUCCCGCAGCUUGGGAGUGCGUGGUGGCUGAUUCAGGAGCGAAUGUAUCGUAAGAAUGAAUUUUUUGCUAAUAGGGUGGGGUUUGUAAGGAAGGAUUGAAGGGAAAUGGGAGACUAGAUAUUCUAU